CCUACGGGAGGCAGCAGUGGGGAAUCUUGCGCAAUGGCGGGCGAAAGCCUGACGCAGCAACGCCGUGUGAGGGAUGAAGGCUUUCGGGUCGUAAACCUCUGUCGGCAGGGAAGAACGGGCAAUGUUCUAAUAGGCCUUUGUUUCUAAUGACGGUACCUUUAGAGGAAGCACCGGCUAACUCCGUGCCAGCAGCCGCGGUAAU
rnacentral:rRNA from 1 species